AGCAGGCUAGGGUAGUAUGCGUUAAGUGCCAUUGUUACGGAAUGUGAACAUGGACGAAGCCUUUUGGUGCGAUAUAUUAUCUGCAUUCACUGUA
rnacentral:ncRNA from 2 species